AUUGAACGCUGGCGGCAUGCCUUACACAUGCAAGUCGAACGGCAGCACGGAGCUUGCUCUGGUGGCGAGUGGCGAACGGGUGAGUAAUAUAUCGGAACGUACCCUGGAGUGGGGGAUAACGUAGCGAAAGUUACGCUAAUACCGCAUACGAUCUACGGAUGAAAGUGGGGGAUCGCAAGACCUCAUGCUCGUGGAGCGGCCGAUAUCUGAUUAGCUAGUUGGUAGGGUAAAAGCCUACCAAGGCAUCGAUCAGUAGCUGGUCUGAGAGGACGACCAGCCACACUGGAACUGAGACACGGUCCAGACUCCUACGGGAGGCAGCAGUGGGGAAUUUUGGACAAUGGGCGAAAGCCUGAUCCAGCAAUGCCGCGUGAGUGAAGAAGGCCUUCGGGUUGUAAAGCUCUUUUGUCAGGGAAGAAACGGUGAGGGCUAAUAUCUCUUGCUAAUGACGGUACCUGAAGAAUAAGCACCGGCUAACUACGUGCCAGCAGCCGCGGUAAUACGUAGGGUGCAAGCGUUAAUCGGAAUUACUGGGCGUAAAGCGUGCGCAGGCGGUUUUGUAAGUCUGAUGUGAAAUCCCCGGGCUCAACCUGGGAAUUGCAUUGGAGACUGCAAGGCUAGAAUCUGGCAGAGGGGGGUAGAAUUCCACGUGUAGCAGUGAAAUGCGUAGAUAUGUGGAGGAACACCGAUGGCGAAGGCAGCCCCCUGGGUCAAGAUUGACGCUCAUGCACGAAAGCGUGGGGAGCAAACAGG
rnacentral:rRNA from 1 species